CUUCAAUUGUCAGCAUAACCUCAUUCUUCUUGGAUGCAGGACAAGAACCUGGGACCCGCUGAACAGCUGGGGCAAAAGGAGCUGUAAGCUGUAGCCCUGCCAUCCUUUGCCAGUGCCAGGUGGCGUCCCCAUGAGAUGGGAAACAGAGAUGUUUUACUGCACCAAUGUUGGAAGCCGGAAAGCAUGGAAUGCUUAACUGAAAAGCUCACAUGUAAAUGUCUAGGCUGUAAUGGGGUGCAAGCCAGUAAGCAAGCCAUAUAUUCAAUCAACAUCUAGAAAAAGGAUACCUUUGAGGCAAGUACUGGAUAUAAUGACAUGAAAGAUGCUAUCCUGAGCCAAGAUGUGUCACUUUCUAACUUCGAUAUGGAUUUUCCUUUUGAGUAUCAGUAGUCUUUGUUUUCAUGUUAACUUCAGGCUGAGUCAUCUUUAAAAAGAUUAAACAUGGAAGUCUACCAAUGUUUCCAUGCUGGUCUUUCCACAACCAUGCGAACACAAUUAUGUCCCUCCACUACCCCAACACACAUAAACACACACACACACACACACACACACACAGUCACAUGGAUAUAUCUCUGUCUCUAACUCGAUGGCUACCUGUGUCUGUGUCUAUGUUUACAUAUAUAUCUCUGUAUAUAUAAACAUUUCCAUGCCAACACACAGACUCUUAAAACCUCAAAAGGAGUAUAGAUUAUUUGAUGCAUUUUGUUUACCUGUUUUCUUUUGCAUGUCCAAGCAACUGAACGGGCUCAACUCUGUGAGGCCAAGUGGUUUGCAAAGAGAUGUGGUACUCAUUAAUUCACACAAAUCAUGAUCCACAAACUCCUGUUACAAGAUUGUUUUUUUGAAGCAGACUAGGGCCCUGUGGUUGUCAUAAACUUCCUGGGCUGGGCCAGCCGGCCAGAAGGGAAUUGCUUUUGAGAACAGCCCCUUAGCUGGCUGCGCUGCAGAACUGCUUCAACAUGCCAGCUGUUCCCUCACAGGUUGCCCAAGCAGUUUCUACUGGCCUGAUAGGUAUUUUUUGUCCAUCCCCAAAAGCAUGGUGAGGGAGAAACCUGUGUGGCAUUGCUAACAAAGAGCAAACUUUCCAGUACAGCUGAAUGAUUUCAGUGACUUUCUCAACACUGUUUCCUAUUUUGCUGACAAGACACUCACUACAUGGUGCAAAGUAUUGCUGGGACGUGACAGACUCAUCAUGUUCAAUUUUCCUAAGAAUUGAGAACCACAGGAUGGAGAUCUAUACUAUACUGGCGCAAGGAUGUCUCGCUAUGCUAAAAGGAUUGUGUCCAGGUGAUGGGAAGAUUAAAGGAAAUGUUACUGGAAAAGUAAACACAUUAGGUUCUUUAAGAUUACUGGCACAUUUCUUUCUUGAAUUAGAUUCUGCCUGAAAGGAUCACAAAGAAAGAUUUAACUUGGCAGUGGAGAAGAUUUCCAUCCUGAAGUGCAAGAUUAAAAUAAUUAAAACAGCCCAUUAAACCUAACAAUUUUUUAAAGGUCUAUUUUUUAAGGUAUAUAAUUUUAAACUAUAAUUUUCUUUUGAAAAGUCAUUGGCACCAUAGCUAAUCUGAAUUGUCUGACAACAUCUAUGAGUGGGCAAGGCAUGCUUUAGACAAGUUAGAAACAUGAGUAACACAAGAAUACAUUCCAGAUGCAACUAAAAUACCUGCUGUCCAGAAGUGACAAUGCAUUUCAAAAUCUGUUAAUGUAUAAAUAAAUAUGCCCUCCUCUGCAAUUCUCUCCUACCCGAAAUGUUCACAUUCCAGUUUGGGAUAAGUCUAACACAUAUAAGAUGAUAUUUGAUGCCAAAGAAAAACUGAAUAUUUCUUCAUUAAAAACACAUUUAAAUACAAGCUUGAA
rnacentral:lncRNA from 1 species